rnacentral:rRNA from 1 species
GACGAACGCUGGCGGCGUGCUUAACACAUGCAAGUCGAACGGAAAGUCCCUGCUUUUGUGGGGUGCUCGAGUGGCGAACGGGUGAGUAACACGUGAGUAACCUGCCCUUGACUUUGGGAUAACUGCAGGAAACUGGGGCUAAUACCGGAUAGGAGCUCCUGCUGCAUGGUGGGGGUUGGAAAGUUUGGGCGGUUGGAGAUGGACUCGCGGCUUAUCAGCUUGUUGGUGUGGUAGUGGCUUACCAAGGCUUUGACGGGUAUCCGACCUGAGAGGGUGACCGGCACCCAUGGGACUGCGAUACGGCCCAGACUCCUACGGGAGGCAGCAGAGGGGAGUAUUGCCCAAUGAGGGGAAGCGUGAUGAAGAAGCGCCGGGUGCGGAAAGACGGCCUUCGAGUUGUAAACCGCUGUCGCCUGUGAAGAAGCGUAAGUGACGGUAAUCGGUAAAGAAGCACCGGCUAACUACGUG